rnacentral:sRNA from 1 species
UGAUCACGAACUACCGCUCCGCCUAAACC